UACGUAGGAGGCGAGCGUUAUCCGGAUUUACUGGGCGUAAAGAGGGCGUAGGCGGUCUUCCAAGUCGAGUGUAAAAUCUCCCGGCUCAACUGGGAGGGACCAUUCGAUACUGGUGGACUGGAGGACAGCAGAAGGAGGUGGAAUUCCCGGUGUAGUGGUGGAAUGCGUAGAUAUCGGGAGGAACACCAGAGGCGAAAGCGGCCUCCUAGGCUGUUUCUGACGCUGAGGCCCGAAAGCGUGGGGAGCGAACAGGAUUAGAUACCCCGGUA
rnacentral:rRNA from 1 species